AAGCGAGAUUUCUGCUUCGGUAGAUGCUGGCUGGCAGAGAAGAGUUAGUGGAAAAGCGUACAACAGUUUAUCUGGACAUGCAACCAUGAUUGAAGCAAAGACUGGAAAAGUGCUAGAUUGGAACUGUAGAAUAAAGUCAUGUCGUAUUUGAGCACAUCCGGCGAAGGAAAACCUACCAGCAAGACCACACAUUUGUUAUAAAAAUUGGGAAGGAAGUUCCAAAGCCAUGGAACAGGAUAUGGUAGUUGAAAUGGUGAAGAAAGUGAAAGAAAGUGGUGAGAGAGUUGCAACCAUUAUUGGCGAUGAUGAUGCAGCUACCAUAUCACGUCUACGACACGAGGUUGACCCAAAUAUAGAAAAACAGUCGGACAGAAACCAUCUCAUGUGGUUGCCUUUGUGUUUGACGUCAGUGUGCAAGGACUAUUGAAAUUGACAUGGAAGUCCUCAUAUCGCAGAGGAUUGCCUGUCAAGAAUACAAGGAAGGCCCCACAUAAUCAUCUGAGAUUUGAUUAUGUCAGCAAACUGAUACAAUUCUUGCCAGUAUUCCAGACCCAUGCAUUCGGCCAGACCAAGAUAGAGUCGACUUCAGUGGAGAAACCCAUUUACCUGUUUAUUUUGAUAUGGAAACAACUGGCUUGGAUAGAACAUGUCACAUUACUCAGUUGGCAUUUCUGGAAGAGGAAGAAAAGUUUCAAGUGUACGUUCUACCAAAGAGGCUGAGAAAGUAACUGGGAUAAGUGAAAAAAAUGGAAAACUAUUCCACUUUGAAAAGGAAAAGGAUGCAGUAACAAUUUCUGCAGCUAUUGACAGCUUACUUAGUUUUUGUAAUCAAUUUGGUAAAAAAUUGAUUUUGUUUGGACAUAACAUCCAGUCAUUUGACUGUCCUGUUCUUAUGCGUGCUUUACAAGCAUGCAACAAAAUAACUGAAUUUCCAGAAGUAGUGGAUGGUUUUGUUGACACUCUGAAACUCUUCAAACUUUUGAAACCUGGAUUACCAUCUUAUCGACAGGAAAACCUUUGUGAGUGUCUUUCAGGUAUAGUCUACUCUGCACACAAUGCUGUAGAUGAU